CGCGCAGGCGGUUUGGUUAGUCAGAUGUGAAAGCCCGGGGCUCAACCCCGGAAGUGCAUUUGAUACUACCUAACUUGAGUAUGGGAGAGGGAAGUGGAAUUCCUGGUGUAGAGGUGAAAUUCGUAGAUAUCAGGAGGAACACCGGUGGCGAAGGCGACUUCCUGGACCAAUACUGACGCUGAGGCGCGAAGGCGUGGGGAGCAAACAGGAUUAGAUACCCUGGUAGUCC
rnacentral:rRNA from 1 species